UACAGAGGUCUCAAGCGUUGUUCGGAUUCACUGGGCGUAAAGGGUGCGUAGGUGGCCUGAAAAGUUUGAUGUGAAAGCUCAGGGCUUAACCCUGAAAUGGCAUUGAAUACUGUUGGGCUGGAGGUUUGGAGGGGGGACUGGAAUUCUUGGUGUAGCAGUGAAAUGCGUAGAUAUCAAGAGGAACACCAGUGGCAAAGGCGAGUCCCUGGACAACACCUGACACUGAGGCACGAAAGCUAGGGGAGCAAACAGG
rnacentral:rRNA from 1 species